rnacentral:rRNA from 1 species
UGGGGAAUAUUGCACAAUGGGCGCAAGCCUGAUGCAGCAACGCCGCGUGAGGGACGACGGCCUUCGGGUUGUAAACCUCUUUUAGUAGGGAAGAAGCGAAAGUGACGGUACCUGCAGAAAAAGCACCGGCUAACUACGUGCCAGCAGCCGCGGUAAUACGUAGGGUGCGAGCGUUGUCCGGAAUUAUUGGGCGUAAAGAGCUCGUAGGCGGUCUGUCGCGUCUGCUGUGAAAACCCGAGGCUCAACCUCGGGCCUGCAGUGGGUACGGGCAGACUAGAGUGCGGUAGGGGAGAAUGGAAUUCCUGGUGUAGCGGUGGAAUGCGCAGAUAUCAGGAGGAACACCGAUGGCGAAGGCAGUUCUCUGGGCCGUAACUGACGCUGAGGAGCGAAACGCGUGGGGAGCGAACAGGAUUAGAUACCCUGGUAGUCCACGCCGUAAACGUUGGGCGCUAGAUGUGGGGACCAUUCCACGGUUUCCGUGUCGCAGCU